CCUACGGGUGGCUGCAGUGGGGAAUAUUGGACAAUGGGGGCAAGCCUGAUCCAGCCAUGCCGCGUGUGUGAAGAAGGCCCUCGGGUUGUAAAGCACUUUCAGCGAGGAAGAACGCCUGGUGGUUAAUACCUAUGAGGAAAGACAUCACCCACAGAAGAAGCACCGGCUAACUCCGUGCCAGCAGCCGCGGUAAUACGGAGGGUGCGAGCGUUAAUCGGAAUUACUGGGCGUAAAGCGCGCGUAGGUGGCUUGAUAAGCCGGUUGUGAAAGCCCCGGGCUCAACCUGGGAACGGCAUCCGGAACUGUCAAGCUAGAGUGCAGGAGAGGAAGGUAGAAUUCCCGGUGUAGCGGUGAAAUGCGUAGAGAUCGGGAGGAAUACCAGUGGCGAAGGCGGCCUUCUGGACUGACACUGACACUGAGGUGCGAAAGCGUGGGUAGCAAACAGGAUUAGAUACCCCGGUAGUC
rnacentral:rRNA from 1 species